rnacentral:rRNA from 1 species
GACGAACGUUGGCGGCGUGCUUAAUACAUGCAAGUCAACUGAAGCACCGGUAGUAAUACUGGUGUGGAGGUGGCGCACGGGUGAGUAACACGUAGGUAAUCUGCCUUCAGGUCUGACAUAACCCCGAGAAAUCGGGGCUAAUAGCAGAUGAUGCAGCGGCUUGACAUCAAGACAGUUGUUAAAGCUUCGGCGCCUGAAGAUGAGCCUGCGUCUGAUUAGCUAGUUGGCGGAGUAAUAGCCCACCAAGGCGACGAUCAGUAGCUGGUCUGAGAGGAUGAUCAGCCACACUGGAACUGAGACACGGUCCAGACUCCUACGGGAGGCAGCAGUAAGGAAUAUUGCUCAAUGGGAGAAAUCCUGAAGCAGCAACGCCGCGUGAGGGAGUGAAGGGCUUUUGCUCGUAAACCUCUGUAGUGAGGGAAAAAUUUCCAUUCUAUGGAAUAUGAUGGUACCUCAAAGUAAGCCCGGCUAACUACGUGCCAG